GAGCUUCUACUUCAGAUAAAUUCCAGACGGACUUCUCUAGCAAUUAGACUCCUGUCGGACUUCUCCAACAGAAAAUUUUCGUCCGAGCUUCUACAGCAGAUGACUUCUGUCUGUAGCAUCGACGCCUAAGGCACCCAACAGUAGUUAACCCGUCAGCAACCUCAAAAAUAUCCGAGCUUCUCCUAGAUUGCUGAGACAGAGGGCUAUUCCGCUUCACCAUG
rnacentral:lncRNA from 1 species